UCCUCCAGGUGAUUGAAAUACCUACCCUACCGUAUUUCAAUGGCACCGAUACAAAGAAUAAAUAUCACUCAGCAUGCAAUAAUUUCCCUCGUGCAUGUUCCGUUCUCUGCUCGCCGUUAGACUAAGGCAAUAUCAUUUCGGGUCUGUACACCGAUGUAUCACCAGCUGAUCUCGCCGGACGUCCUUAAUUUGGGCCUAACUCUCAGUUGUAUUGUUACUAUUCGGCGUUGGUCAGGCUAGCAAACAGUAACUCCGCGAGCAUUUCUUCAACUCGCUUGAAUAACAUCAACGGAGAUAAAUAUUGUUUUUCUUCUGUGGAACUGGUGCGUGAGCAUCGAGAGGGCCCAAGCACACCGGCAAUGGGCUGGGCUGAAGAUUUUCAUCAUUUUCUCGCCUACGCGCUCGGCUGUUCAAGGAAGCCGUCCACAUGCAGACGCGGUAUAUGGGAUAUGAAAGUCAAGAGGGAAUUCCUGCGUACACAAGAG
rnacentral:sRNA from 1 species